rnacentral:pre_miRNA from 1 species
AGUCGUUGUUUGCGGGCGUAGCAUCAUCAAGAUUCACGCACAUGCAAUUAACUUGAAAGUUUCUCUCUUUGCCAAAGUUUCUUUCAAAGUGAGAAUCUUGAUGAUGCUGCAUCGGCAAUAAACCACU